rnacentral:lncRNA from 1 species
UCAUGUCUUGGUUUGUUGAUCUUGCUGGAAAGACAGAAGAUCUUUUAAACUGAGUUGAUCAAGGGGCUGCAACAGCUCUCAGUAGGAAAGACACCACCACCAGCAACAUCAUAUAUAGCAAAAAUACUGACUAUACUGAACUUCACAGAAGUUCAAAUACAGAUUUGACAUAUCAGACUUGACCUGUAGCUACUUAUACUUCAUCAGCAACUGAUAACAUUUGAAAUCAAAAAGCCACCAUCUUAGCUGGCACUGCAAAUGUGAAAGUAAGAUCUAGGACACCAGUGGAGGCCUCUCAUCCUAUUGAAAAUUCAUCUGUUCCUAGGCCUUCAUCCCAAUUUGUGUGAACAAGAAAGUCAGAACCUGAUGAUGAGCUGCCCUUUAAUUUCCUUAAUAGUUCACAGAAGGAGCCUACUGGGAGGGUGGAAAUCAAAAAGGAAAAAGGAAAGACACCUGUCUUUCAGAGUUCUUGGACGUCAAGUGUUAGUUCUGUGAACCCCAGUAUAACCACCAUCAAAACCACUGAAGAAAAUUCUUUUGGAAAAUGCAUCAUCAAAUGCUGCCUGCACUGAGCACAUCCCAACACCUAAUGAAGAUGGCAAAUCACAUGAACUAUCUAACCUUCGACUCCUUGGUCUUUCAACUGGAGCACCUCAAACAGCAGAUGGACUCUGCCUCUGGAAGUAGUAGUAACGGGUCUUCGAUUAAUAUGUCUGAAAUUGUCAAUGGUGAAGGCACUCUUCUGUGAAAUGUUCCUGUUCUUUUUAAUGGCACAGAAACUAAUCUGGCAGGAAUGUACGGAAAAAUUCACAAAGCUAGUUCAAUUGACCGGUUUAGUAUUCGUCUGGGAAUUUUUCUCCAAAGAUACCCCAUAGCAUGAGUUUUUGUGAUUAUAUAUAUGGCUUGGCUUCACCUCUGGGUCAUGAUUGUUCUGUUGACUUAUACACCAGAAAUGCACCACGACCAACCAUAUGGCAAAU